rnacentral:rRNA from 1 species
GUUAAAACACGUAAGGGCGUAUGGUGGAUGGCUAGGCAUGAAGAGCCGAUGAAGGACGUAGCAGCCUGCGAUAAGCUCUGGGAAGGUGGCAAGCAACCGUUGAUCCAGAGAUCUCCGAAUGGGGAAACCCUACCGAUUGAAGAUCGGUAACGAACGUCUGAAUUCAUAGGACGUUGCGUGGGAACCUAGGGAAGUGAAACAUCUCAGUACCUAGAGGAAAAGAAAAAAACAAAGUGGACAUCUUGUCUCUCAAGAUCAUUCGUGGUCUUGGUGAGACAAGACGUCCGCAAUAUUCCCUGAGUAGCGGCGAGCGAAAUGGGAGGAGUCAAAACCGUUUUAUAUGACCGAUUACACCGAGUUGAACGCAAGUUCCGCCGCGGGUUUUCGCGAGGGCGUGGGCCGCCUUUAAAACGGGGUUGUAGGGACGAAGCAUGUGUUCCCCAUGAAACACAUGAAGAGCAGAGAACAUUAGCCGAAUCCACUGGAAAGUGGAACCAAAGACGGUGAUAGUCCGGUAAGCGAAAGUGCUUCUCUCCUUCAGCUUCAGAUCCAUAGUACAACGAGGCUCGAGU